rnacentral:rRNA from 1 species
GACGAACGCUGGCGGCGUGCUUAACACAUGCAAGUCGAACGGAAAGGCCCUGCUUUUGUGGGGUGCUCGAGUGGCGAACGGGUGAGUAACACGUGAGUAACCUGCCCUUGACUUUGGGAUAACUUCAGGAAACUGGGGCUAAUACCGGAUAGGAGCUCCUGCUGCAUGGUGGGGGUUGGAAAGUUUCGGCGGUUGGGGAUGGACGCGCGGCUUAUCAGCUUGUUGGUGGGGUAGUGGCUUACCAAGGCUUUGACGGGUAGCCGGCCUGAGAGGGUGACCGGCCACAUUGGGACUGAGAUACGGCCCAGACUCCUACGGGAGGCAGCAGUGGGGAAUAUUGCACAAUGGGCGGAAGCCUGGUGCAGCAACGCCGCGUGCGGGAUGACGGCCUUCGGGUUGUAAACCGCUUUCGCCUGUGACGAAGCGUGAGUGACGGUAAUGGGUAAAGAAGCACCGGCUAACUACGUG